CAGAAGGAUAGCAGAUAUUCUUCUUUUACAGGAAGGACUGGCUGUGUGGCUUUUGCUGUAAUUAUUUUGUAAUUUGGCUGCUCUUAAGCUGGCCUCCCUUUCCCAGGGUUGGCUAAAUAUUCCCCAUGCAGAAGGAAGGAAGAAAGCCAAAGAUGAAUCUGUGYCAGCCCAGCUUUGGAGAGAGGGUAAUUGUUGAUGGGGCUGGUUUGUGGUGUUUGAGCUGAGAUGCUGCUGCUGCUGGUCUGAUGUAGGACGGCAUCGAGCUGCGGGAUGAGGAAGCACCGGCCCCUGUACGGCUCUUUCAUUCCCUUCUGCUCGUCUGUGUCACCUUAGCCUGGCUGCCUGCCUGCUUGCCUGGCUGCCUGCCUUUGUCGGAGCUGCUCCCGCUCUCGUUUUGCCAUAGGUGAGAAGAAUGGCUCAGAACUGAGCUCAGCAUUUUGUUGGGAUAUUUUCCUUAUUUGACACCUCUUAAUUGCCCAUUACAACUGGCUGAUCUGCUUGAAAAUAGGUUACAGAGACUGGAACUAUCAAUGAUUUUAGCUUGGUUUUAGCAAGAGCUUUCAGCCAGAAGGGCGGGAGGGAGUUAGAACACUUGGAAAAUGUUUGUGUUUUAUAAACAAAUAUUUUUUUUGAAAACACUGGAAAGUGCUACUUUGAAAAUUCCCAAAAUAAUAUAAAAUAUAUACUUUUGUUUUGAAAUUAAUCUGCAUAAAAAUAUAUAGUAUAUAUAUUUAUUUUUUACAAAAUGCAGAACUGAAAAGAUUUGACUUAAUAUUUUUAGUUUUUACUCUAAGUGAUAUUUUGGAAAUAUUUUUUCUGUUCUGCUGCUAGUAAUAAUACUUUGCAUCGAAUGAGAAUACUUUGGACCUUAGCAUCGAUCCCAACUUUUUUGUAGUUCAGCCACUAGCCUGAAAGCUUUGCUUAGUACGUCUCUGCUCUUAGUCCUAACUUCUGGGUGUGUUUAAUGUCCCGAGGUGCCGUUGCUCCCGUCUUGGUC
rnacentral:lncRNA from 1 species